rnacentral:rRNA from 1 species
UAGAGUUUGAUUCUGGCUCAGAACGAACGCUGGCGGCAUGCCUAACACAUGCAAGUCGAACGAAGGCUUCGGCCUUAGUGGCGCACGGGUGCGUAACGCGUGGGAAUCUGCCCUUAGGUUCGGAAUAACAGCUGGAAACGGCUGCUAAUACCGGAUGAUAUCGCGAGAUCAAAGAUUUAUCGCCUGAGGAUGAGCCCGCGUUGGAUUAGGUAGUUGGUGGGGUAAAGGCCUACCAAGCCGACGAUCCAUAGCUGGUCUGAGAGGAUGAUCAGCCACACUGGCACUGAGAUACGGGCCAGACUCCUACGGGAGGCAGCAGUAGGGAAUAUUGGGCAAUGGGCGAGAGCCUGACCCAGCCAUGCCGCGUGCCGGAUGAAGGCCUUCUGGGUUGUAAACGGCUUUUCUCAGGGAAGAAAACGACCAUGCGUGGUACACUGACGGUACCUGAGGAAUAAGCACCGGCUAACUCCGUGCCAGCAGCCGCGGUAAU